GGCAUCCAUUAGUUGUAAGAAAAAUACGUAUUCUCUCUCCUUUUUUUUAAUUAUACUUUAUGUUCUAGGGAUGCAGUUGGAAAUGCGUUCUCUUUUUAUGAUCCCAAGAAAAGAGAAGUGUAUGAGAAAAGAGAGUUGAUUUGGAGUUAUACAAAAUAUAGAAAUCAUUGGAUAAAUAGGAAACUUCAUUUUAAUUUGAGAUGUUAAAAUAUUUGGAAGAUUUUCAAAAUUAUUUAUAUGAAGUGGAAAAGGGAAAAUCUUGGACUUGAAAAAAGAAGGCCCUUCCAACUGUGGACUAUCC
rnacentral:lncRNA from 1 species